rnacentral:tRNA from 2 species
UGCGGCGUAGCUCAGCGGAAGAGCGCCCGGCUGGUGGUUCAGCAGUACGGGAGGUCGCCGGUUCAAAUCCGGCCACCGCAA